CAGUUCACAAGCAAUGGCACGUGGGAGCUGCUCACCAGUGGGCUGCCAUCGUGUGCCUCAGUUGCGUCACCAUGCUUGCAUGCCCACUGCUGCUAUGAAGGAAGUGUUGGACAGUUUUUGGCUUGAGCUUUUAGAAAGUGGUUCUCCAUAUAACGUGGUGGAUGUACUUUUGGUUUUUGAGUUCCUACAAAUACUAGUAUUGCUUUUGGUGCCUGAAUUUGUUGGAGUAUUCGAACGGUGUGUAAGACAAGAUUGUAUGUUAUAUAUGUAUUGACCUCCAUGAUGUGAUGUA